UACGUAGGGUGCGAGCGUUACUCGGAAUUACUGGGCGUAAAGCGUGCGCAGGCGGUUAUGCAAGACAGAUGUGAAAUCCCCGGGCUUAACCUGGGAACUGCAUUUGUGACUGCAUGGCUAGAGUGCGGCAGAGGGGGAUGGAAUUCCGCGUGUAGCAGUGAAAUGCGUAGAUAUGCGGAGGAACACCGAUGGCGAAGGCAAUCCCCUGGGCCUGCACUGACGCUCAUGCACGAAAGCGUGGGGAGCAAACAGG
rnacentral:rRNA from 1 species